UACAGAGGUCUCAAGCGUUGUUCGGAUUUACUGGGCGUAAAGGGUGUGUAGGCGGUUGGGUAAGUCUGAAGUGAAAUCUCUAAGCUCAACUUAGAAAAUGCUCCGGAUACUAUCCAGCUAGAGGGUCGGAGAGGAGAUCGGAAUUCUCGGUGUAGCAGUGAAAUGCGUAGAUAUCGAGAGGAACAUCAGUGGCGAAGGCGGAUCUCUGGACGAACCCUGACGCUGAGGCACGAAAGCUAGGGUAGCAAACGGG
rnacentral:rRNA from 1 species